UGUAAGCAUACCUCUAAAAGAACAAGUGUGCCACUAUGACUAAAACUCAUAUACAUCAGGUCAAAGUGCAGCCAAUGAAAAGGAGACGAUGGGUUACAACCCAAAAACAGAGUAUCAAUCGAGAUAUAAAAAAUCUUAAGAAAGUGGACUUGGCCGUAAUUAAUUUACAAGUUAAAAAUAUGAAUAAAAAUCUAAGACAUGCACACAUCGCCCGUCACUCUACCCUAAAGGGUAGAUAAGUCGUAACAAAGUAGGUGUAAUGGAAAUUGCACCUGUCGAAGUAUAGCAUAUAAAAUGCUUUCUACUUACACUAGAACCAAAGUUAAGUAACUUACUUCGCACAAUAAAACAAAUCCUCCAAUAAUAAAUAAUAGAAAUAACUAUAUAAUAAAAUAAUAAAUAAAGUACAGAAAUGGAAAUAGUAAUAAAUAAUAGUAAAUAUUAACAAUUGUACCUUGUGCAUUAUGGUUUUACAAGAAAAUAAUUAAAUAUAUUUAUCCCGAAUUCUAAAUGAGAUGUUAAACUGCCGUUAAGAACCCACUAAUAUCUGUAGAAAAAGAUUUAAAAGACAGUUUAACAGAGGCUACAUACCAUACGCAUAAGAAUAUAGCUGGUUUUCAACAAAAAUUAUAUAUUAAAUCAUAUAAUUAUAUUAUAGUGUAAUAUUAUUGAGGAUAAGCCCAAUAAUCUAAGCAAUAUUUAUAAAUUUCAUUAUUAACUAAUAGGCCUAAAAUCAGCCAACUAAAAUACUUUACCGUAUAAAGUAUAGAUAAAAUAUAUAACUAUGAAUAAUGCCAAAUAAAGUUGAAAUAAUAGAUAAAUCAAUUUAAUCCUUUUAUACUAUGUAAAAAUAAGUAUUAUAAAAUUAUAUCAUAUACAACCCAGUAAAUACAAUAAACAAAACAAAAUAAUUAAUUAAGGAACUCGGCAAAUAAGUAUUUCGACUGUUUAACAAAAACAUUGUCCCAUGAAUAAAAUAUGGGAUAACAC
rnacentral:rRNA from 1 species